rnacentral:rRNA from 1 species
UACAGAGGUCCCAAGCGUUGUUUGGAUUCAUUGGGCGUAAAGGGUGCGUAGGCGGCGCGGUAAGUCGGGUGUGAAAUCUCGGAGCUUAACUCCGAAACUGCAUUCGAUACUGCCGUGCUUGAGGACUGGAGAGGAGACUGGAAUUUACGGUGUAGCGGUGAAAUGCGUAGAUAUCGUAAGGAAGACCAGUGGCGAAGGCGGGUCUCUGGACAGUUCCUGACGCUGAGGCACGAAGGCCAGGGGAGCAAACGGG